rfam:Daphnia pulex DAPPTscaffold_92_Cont4147, whole genome shotgun sequence.
UAAAAGGGUGCUUUCUACUAAAUGGUACACUCACUAAAAACCCUUAAAAGGGAUGGGUGAGUGGGGUAUGGCCAUCAAGACAUACCUAGCACAUAAUAUUUGGACUUGGGACAGUUGAUGUAACAUCGACGUCCCC